rnacentral:rRNA from 1 species
CCUACGGGAGGCAGCAGUGGGGAAUAUUGCACAAUGGGCGCAAGCCUGAUGCAGCGACGCCGCGUGAGGGAUGACGGCCUUCGGGUUGUAAACCUCUUUCAGUAGGGAAGAAGCGAAAGUGACGGUACCUGCAGAAGAAGCGCCGGCUAACUACGUGCCAGCAGCCGCGGUAAUACGUAGGGCGCAAGCGUUAUCCGGAAUUAUUGGGCGUAAAGAGCUCGUAGGCGGUUUGUCGCGUCUGCCGUGAAAGUCCGGGGCUCAACUCCGGAUCUGCGGUGGGUACGGGCAGACUAGAGUGAUGUAGGGGAGACUGGAAUUCCUGGUGUAGCGGUGAAAUGCGCAGAUAUCAGGAGGAACACCGAUGGCGAAGGCAGGUCUCUGGGCAUUAACUGACGCUGAGGAGCGAAAGCAUGGGGAGCGAACAGGAUUAGAUACCCUGGUAGUCCAUGCCGUAAACGUUGGGCACUAGGUGUGGGGGACAUUCCACGUUUUCCGCGCCGUAGCUAACGCAUUAAGUGCCCGCCUGGGGNGACGCGCAGCGAACACAANAGAGUAGACGGCGUGAGACGUGCCGACGGACGACGACGAGGGAGGAGG